rnacentral:tRNA from 1 species
AACUUUUAUUAAAAUUAAUAAAUUAAUAUAAAAUA